UACAGAGGUCCCAAGCGUUGUUCGGAUUCACUGGGCGUAAAGGGUGCGUAGGUGGCCAGGUAAGUUUGGUGUGAAAGCUCGGAGCUUAACUCCGAAAAGUCAUUGAAUACUAUCUGGCUGGAGGGUCGGAGGGGAGACUGGAAUUCUCGGUGUAGCAGUGAAAUGCGUAGAUAUCGAGAGGAACACCAGUGGCGAAGACGAGUCUCUGGACGACACCUGACACUGAGGCACGAAAGCUAGGGGAGCAAACAGG
rnacentral:rRNA from 1 species